ensembl:lncRNA
CCAGUGGAUCCUAAGGUCAUCUAGAUGUGACUGUUUUUUAAAAGGCAAGAAGAUCCUUGAACCUUAGGAUCUGUAAAGCUGUCGAAGUUUUAAACAUAAAGGAUAAAGUGUGACGCGGUUUUCUGUAGCAGUCUUCGGGGAUGAGCGUCCAAGAUGAAAGAAGUCGCUCAGUGACAACUGGAAACCUUCCACUCGUGUGUCGUGAGUUGAACCCACUGAACUACGAGCACCUUGGGCCACGUCAUGAGGUGCAGCCCUAAAAGAUGGAGGAAAGGGGGGAGGCUUCCUGACUGAUCUUCCCACACAGGCCUGACCCCAAUAUCCAGGCAUCCUCCUGACUCUUUAGCUUCACACACGUUCAGAUCCUGGAAUGUUUGUUGCUCC